rnacentral:rRNA from 1 species
AUUGAACGCUGGCGGCAGGCCUAACACAUGCAAGUCGGACGGUAGCACAGAGGAGCUUGCUCCUCGGGUGACGAGUGGCGGACGGGUGAGUAAUGUCUGGGGAUCUGCCCGAUAGAGGGGGAUAACCACUGGAAACGGUGGCUAAUACCGCAUAACGUCGCAAGACCAAAGAGGGGGACCUUCGGGCCUCUCACUAUCGGAUGAACCCAGAUGGGAUUAGCUAGUAGGCGGGGUAAUGGCCCACCUAGGCGACGAUCCCUAGCUGGUCUGAGAGGAUGACCAGCCAACCUGGAACUGAGACACGGGCCAGACUCCUACGGGAGGCAGCAGUGGGGAAAAUUGCACAAUGGGCGCAAGCCUGACGCAGCCAUGCCGCGUGUAUGAAGAAGGCCUUCGGGUUGUAAAGUACUUUCAGCGGGGAGGAAGGCGAUAAGGUUAAUAACCUUGUCGAUUGACGUUACCCGCAGAAGAAGCACCGGCUAACUCCGUGCCAGCAGCCGCCGUAA